GGCAGCAACCCAACAAUGGUUUGUUUGAUUCAUCUGAAAAUUUCUGGGCUGAUAGAUCUUGACCUAAUAAACAUUUUUACCCCAUGUCAGAUUUGCUCUAAAUGCUUUCGUUUUUGAGAUAUAAGCCAAAAACUGCAUUUGACCCCUAUGUUCUAUUUUAAGUAACGGCGGCCAUGUUUUUUGACGGAUCAAAAAUCGAAGCGCACAUUUUGUGCAGGAUAUACUAAGGAACAAUCAUGUUAAGUUUCAUUCAAAUCCAUUCAGUAAUUUCAGAGGAGAAGAUGUUUGAAAAAUUGUUAACGACGACAGACGACGACGACGACGACGACGACGACGACGUCGACGACGACGGACGCCAAGUGAUGAGAAAAGCUCACAUGGCCUUUUAGGCCAGGUGAGCUAAAAAGGUAGA
rnacentral:lncRNA from 1 species